GACGAACGCUGGCGGCGUGCUUAACACAUGCAAGUCGAACGGUAAGGCCCUUCGGGGUACACGAGUGGCGAACGGGUGAGUAACACGUGGGUGAUCUGCCCUGCACUUCGGGAUAAGCCUGGGAAACUGGGUCUAAUACCGGAUAGGACCACUGCCUGCAUGGGUGGUGGUGGAAAGCUUUUGCGGUGUGGGAUGGGCCCGCGGCCUAUCAGCUUGUUGGUGGGGUGAUGGCCUACCAAGGCGACGACGGGUAGCCGGCCUGAGAGGGUGACCGGCCACACGGGGACUGAGAUACGGCCCAGACUCCUACGGGAGGCAGCAGUGGGGAAUAUUGGGCAAUGGAGGAAACUCUGACCCAGCGACGCCGCGUGAGGGAUGAAGGCCUUCGGGUUGUAAACCUCUUUCAGUAGGGAAGAAGCGAAAGUGACGGUACCUAAAGAAGAAGCACCGGCUAACUAUGUGCCAGCAGCCGCCGUAA
rnacentral:rRNA from 1 species